AAUCUUGGGCAAUGGGCGAAAGCCUGACCCAGCCACGCCGCGUGGAGGAUGACACCCCUAGCGGGCGUAAACUCCUUUUAUACGGGAAGAAGGCCUCCUUGGAGGGGGAUUGACGGUACCGUACGAAUAAGCACCGGCUAACUCCGUGCCAGCAGCCGCGGUAAUACGGAGGGUGCAAGCGUUGUCCGGAUUCACUGGGUGUAAAGGGCGUGUAGGCGGCUUGAUAAGCCAAAGGUGAAAUCCCUCAGCUCAACUGAGGAACUGCCUUUGGAACUGUCUGGCUAGAGGCCAGGAGAGGGUAGCGGAAUUCCCAGUGUAGCGGUGAAAUGCGUAGAUAUUGGGAGGAACACCAGUGGCGAAGGCGGCUACCUGGACUGGUACUGACGCUGAGGCGCGAAAGCGUGGGGAGCAAACAGGAUUAGAUACCCUGGUAGUCCACGCUGUA
rnacentral:rRNA from 1 species